AGCGAACGCUGGCGGCAGGCUUAACACAUGCAAGUCGAGCGGGCGUAGCAAUACGUCAGCGGCGGACGGGUGAGUAACACGUGGGUAACCUGCCUCAUAGAGGGGAAUAGCCUUCCGAAAGGAAGAUUAAUACCGCAUAAGAUUGUAGCUUCGCAUGAAGUAGCAAUUAAAGGAGCAAUCCGCUAUGAGAUGGACCCCGCGUCGCAUUAGCUAGUUGGUGAGGUAACGGCUCACCAAGGCGACGAUGCGUAGCCGACCUGAGAGGGUGAUCGGCCACAUUGGGACUGAGACACGGCCCAGACUCCUACGGGAGGCUG
rnacentral:rRNA from 1 species